GAUGAACGCUGGCGGCGUGCCUAAUACAUGCAAGUCGAGCGAAUGGAUUAAGAGCUUGCUCUUAUGAAGUUAGCGGCGGACGGGUGAGUAACACGUGGGUAACCUGCCCAUAAGACUGGGAUAACUCCGGGAAACCGGGGCUAAUACCGGAUAACAUUUUGAACCGCAUGGUUCGAAAUUGAAAGGCGGCUUCGGCUGUCACUUAUGGAUGGACCCGCGUCGCAUUAGCUAGUUGGUGAGGUAACGGCUCACCAAGGCAACGAUGCGUAGCCGACCUGAGAGGGUGAUCGGCCACACUGGGACUGAGACACGGCCCAGACUCCUACGGGAGGCAGCAGUAGGGAAUCUUCCGCAAUGGACGAAAGUCUGACGGAGCAACGACGCGUGAGUGAUGAAGGCUUUCGGGUCGAAAAACUCUGUUGUUAGGGAAGAACAAGUGCUAGUUGAAUAAGCUGGCACCUUGACGGUACCUAACCAGAAAGCCACGGCUAACUACGUGCCAGCAGCCGCCGUAA
rnacentral:rRNA from 1 species